UACGUAGGGUGCGAGCGUUAAUCGGAAUUACUGGGCGUAAAGCGUGCGCAGGCGGCUUUGCAAGACAGAUGUGAAAUCCCCGGGCUCAACCUGGGAACUGCAUUUGUGACUGCGAGGCUAGAGUACGGCAGAGGGAGAUGGAAUGCCGCGUGUAGCAGUGAAAUGCGUAGAUAUGCGGAGGAACACCAAUGGCGAAGGCAAUCCCCUGGGCCUGUACUGACGCUCAUGCACGAAAGCGUGGGGAGCAAACAGG
rnacentral:rRNA from 1 species